AGUAACCCACUAGAGUAAUCGGAUUCAGGUUGGGGGUAAUCUGUCGCACUUCACCCACUAAUGGAUCAUAUAAGCCAUUACCGAAGGCUGCAUUGCAUGCGAAUAGAAGGCAAGCAACCCCUAAACAAAGCAGGUGAUGGCCCAAAAUAGAAGAGAGAGACUCAAAGUCGUCCCA
rnacentral:antisense_RNA from 1 species